rnacentral:rRNA from 1 species
UAACUUUCAGCAACGGAUCUCUUGGCUCUCGCAUCGAUGAAGAACGCAGCGAAAUGCGAUAAGUAAUGUGAAUUGCAGCAUUCAGUGAAUCAUCGAAUCUUUGAACGCACCUUGCGCUCCUUGGUAUUCCGAGGAGCAUGCCUGUUUGAGUGUCAUGG